rnacentral:misc_RNA from 1 species
ACACCCGAAGCCGGUGGCCCAACCGCAAGGAGGGAGCUGUCGAAGGUGGGAUCGGUGAUUAGGACUAAGUCGUAACAAGGUAGCCGUACCGGAAGGUGCGGCUGGAUCACCUCCUUUCUAAGGAGCAUCUGACACUUUCGAGUGUCUAGAGCCACAACCUGGACGAAUGUUCCAGGGUGGUUGCUCAUGGGUGGAACAUUGACUUUGGUGAUGUGAACGGCACUGCAGCACGAGUACGGCCCCUCGGGGCAAGGAAAGAGCAGCAGAGCCCAGUAGUCUCGCCUGCACACUGUUGGGUCCUGAGGGACCGGGCACAUCGAGAAAUCGGUGGGCGCGCCUCGAUCGGACCAGGGUACGCGCGGAGGUUCUCCGUUCGUGGCUGGUGCCGCCCGUAUGUUGAGAACUACACAGUGGACGCGAGCAUCUUAGAUAGGCACCCUCGGGUGUCGAUCUACAGAUCUAGAUUUAUAUAGAUCAUUGGUCAAUCUGAGGCGCUCCUUCGGGAGGGCCUCACGAUCGAUUCAUACUCAUGUAGUCAAGUUUCUAAGAGCAAACGGUGGAUGCCUUGGCAUCUGGAGCCGAAGAAGGACGUAGCAAUCUGCGAUAAGCCUCGGGGAGCUGAUAAGCGAGC